rnacentral:piRNA from 1 species
UCUAGAGAAAAGGUUCCGUAGAAAUGGU